AGGUCAGGAUUGAGUGUUAUGCUGUGAACUUGCUGUCAGUAUUGCACUUAUCCUGGCCUGU
rnacentral:pre_miRNA from 1 species